GGGCGAGUAGCUUAGAUGGCUAAAGCACCCGCCUUGCAAGCGGAAGACCCCCGGUUCAAGUCCGGGCUUGUCCA
rnacentral:tRNA from 1 species